rnacentral:tRNA from 1 species
GGUUAAUUUAAUAAUAAGAGGACCUGACUGUAAUCUUUGUGAUGAUAUGUCCCGUUGAUAUUACCUGCCUUACAAGCAGGGGGUCAAUGGUUCUAAUCCAUUAUCGCCCU